CUGCAAAUGAUCAGCAGUCAGCAGUUCACACACCAAGUAGGCCACUUGGAAGGCAGGCAGCUCUUAAAGCAGAAGGCCCUAGCUAGCAAAAAGACCGUACUAGACCACAACAGAUAAAGACAACAAAAGAUGCCCAUUGUGUGACUAUGGACUACCAGAACAGAGCAAAUCCACUCUCCUCUCAGUCCAGAAUGUCCUCCUCUCUCCUGCUCCUCCUCUUCCUCCACAUCAUAGAGAUUGUCCAUGGGCAAGCAGCACAGCACCACAGCCCAAGGUUAAUGUGCCCUCAAGUUGGUGAGUGUUUAGGCUGGACAGGGCCUGAUGAAUGGUUCAUCUCUCUGUGUGUAUGCCAACGCAAACACACACCAGGGAGAGGGGAGCAUGGGACAGAUGGUGCUCCUUAGGAGGGCUCUGACUCUACCUGUCUCAAUGGGAGAGUAUGAAGGGAAGGAUGGAGAGGAGUUGACAAGGAUAGGAGAAAAAGUUAAAAAUGAGCCUGUGUUCACA
ensembl:lncRNA